GACGAACGCUGGCGGCGUGCUUAACACAUGCAAGUCGAACGGAAAGGCCCUGCUUUUGUGGGGUGCUCGAGUGGCGAACGGGUGAGUAACACGUGAGUAACCUGCCCUUGACUUUGGGAUAACUUCAGGAAACUGGGGCUAAUGCCGGAUAGGAGCUCCUGCUGCAUGGUGGGGGUUGGAAAGUUUCGGCGGUUGGGGAUGGACUCGCGGCUUAUCAGCUUGUUGGUGGGGUAGUGGCUUACCAAGGCUUUGACGGGUAGCCGGCCUGAGAGGGUGACCGGCCACAUUGGGACUGAGAUACGGCCCCGACUCCUACGGGAGGCAGCAGUGGGGAAUAUUGCACAAUGGGCGGAAGCCUGAUGCAGCAACGCCGCGUGCGGGAUGACGGCCUUCGGGUUGUAAACCGCUUUCGCCUGUGACGAAGCGUGAGUGACGGUAAUGGGUAAAGAAGCACCGGCUAACUACGUG
rnacentral:rRNA from 1 species